CACCGGACCCUUGACCCACUGAGCCACCAGGAGCCCAUUUGUUGCCCAGAGUGAAGCUGGCUGGAAUGAAGUGGAAUUAGAAUGGCAAAAGCCUAAUUGAAACGCACAUAAAUGCUUGGCCCUCAGACUUUCAUCGAGAUGAUUGCGGCGAUCAAUAUUCCAGUUUGCCUGGCUGGCAGCUUCCAGGGAAUAAGGACGGAUGACGGACCUGGGGCAGCACUGCCAAACGGAGCAUUAAGUUAAUGCCUGUUGGCCUGGUUUCUGGCUUGCGUGGCAAAGUGUCUUGAGGAGAAGGGGCCCUGCUGGUGCGGACUUCAUCAGGGGCCACAUCUGGUCCAGCAAAGCUCAAGGUGCCGGCUCCCUGCAACUGAGUUUGGUAGGAUGACAGCUCCACUUGCUGAGAUCCCACCACGUUCCCAGUGCAGCGCUUGGCAUCAUACACACACCAUCGGUCCUCCCCAGCCCUCUGGGAUGUCGAUGCGAGGCCCGUCUGAAGUUGAGGACCCGGGGCUCAGAGGGACCAGGGCCACGCUGCUAGCAGGUGGCAGGGCUGUGGCUGGGGUCCUCGACGCUUUACUUGCAAAGCCUGUGUUCUUUCUACCCUCCCAGGCUGAGUAAAUCACAAAUGUGGAUUCU